rnacentral:rRNA from 1 species
AGUGAACGCUGGCGGCAGGCCUAACACAUGCAAGUCGAACGGCAGCACGAGAGAGCUUGCUCUCUUGGUGGCGAGUGGCGGACGGGUGAGUAAUACAUCGGAAUCUACCCUGUCGUGGGGGAUAACGUAGGGAAACUUACGCUAAUACCGCAUACGACCUACGGGUGAAAGCAGGGGAUAUUCGGACCUUGCGCGAAUAGAUGAGCCUAAUGCGGAUUAAGUAGUUGGGGGGGGAAAGGUCUACCAAGGCGACGAUUUGUAGCGGGUUUGAGAGGAUGGACCGCCACACUGGGAACGAGGCACGGGCCAGGAUUCUACGGGAGGGAGGAGGGGGGAAUAUUGGGAAAGUGGGGGAAACCUUGACCAGGCCAUGCGCGUGUGUGAAGAAGGCCUUAUGGUUGUAAAGCACUUUAAGCGAGGAGGAGGCUACUGAGACUAAUACUCUUGGAUAGUGGACGUUACUCGCAGAAUAAGCACCGGCUAACUCUGUGCCAGCCGCCGCAGUAACAC